rnacentral:rRNA from 1 species
UACAGAGGGUGCAAGCGUUAUUCGGAAUUAUUGGGCGUAAAGAGCGUGUAGGUGGUUGGAUAAGUCUGGUGUGAAAUCCCUGAGCUCAACUCAGGAAGUGCAUUGGAUACUGUUCAACUAGAGUACAGGAGAGGAAAGCGGAAUUCCAGGUGUAGAGGUGAAAUUCGUAGAUAUCUGGAGGAACAACAGAGGCGAAGGCGGCUUUCUGGACUGUUACUGACACUAAGGCGCGAAAGCGUGGGGAGCAAACAGG